rnacentral:tmRNA from 1 species
GGGGGCGACUUGGCUUCGACGCCGGUUGCGAAACCUGAAGUGCAUGUCGAGAGGGUAGUGACUCUCGUAAAUCAAUCGCUGUAACUUCUUAUAGUUGCCAAUGACGAAAACUACGCACUAGCUGCCUAAAAACUCUUUUUAAGAACUUUUUAGAUUAGCUUGACCCGGGGCGAAUGUGCCCAUGUAUUCAAACCGGGUGCGCGACUCAUGGGACCGCUGCCAGACCCCGCUUGUGGUUAAAGCAGUUAAACUUAAAG